CAGAAUGUGUCACCCGUUUUACAAUCUGUUCUUUAAAACUACUUUGCAAGAUUCAUGCCGACCAAUUUGUUUUUAUAACGCAUAGCAAUCAGACUGAAUGUUCACUCACAUACCUGAUUGUUACAGCAACGCAACGAGAGGUCGUCCGAGCCAUUAGUGUCUAUGGCGACACUAAUCACUUUCAUCGCCAUGGUCAUGACCAUACUCCGUACCUUGUGCCAUACCACGGGUUGCAUCGAAAAUUCACUGAAAGUAAAUCGAUAUAUUUUUCACUCGCCGAGAAGCAAGCUGGAUAAGCACUUUGGAAAAAAAA